AGUGUCGAUAUAGGGCACCAAGGAGAACUUUAGCAAGAUAAAAACAUGGACAUCAAAGGGGAUAUUUUAAGUGAAGAGCACCAGAGUGCGGGACCACACCACAUCCCCGAGAACCCCCACAUGUUUCUCUACAGCACGUCCGUCCCUCUUACCGAACGAGUCCACUGGGAUGACCAGCAGGAACAGCAGGCGUCCAGGAGGAGCCAGCAUCACACUGCGCUGGAUCUCCUGUUUCACCUGCCUGCCGUCCGCCAAGCCGAAGAGACUCCAGCCUGGAGUAUCCACCACAGCCAGCCGCAGGCCGUCCACCCAGCCGAACCUCCUCACACAGCGGACAGUCUUCUUGCCAGGCUCAAACUCACUGCGGCCUAGGAUGAGGUCUCCUACUGAGCUCUUACCAGAAUGCCUUCGUCCCAACAGCACAAGUCCCAUCACAGAAGGACUUUCUGGAUCCACUUACCAUAAAACAAAGAAGCCAAAUCAGAGCAUUUCAGAGAUCAGUAGCAGCCACACUGAAUAAAAGUCACGCCACACGCCGUUCUCUCACCACCACAGACUUUCACAACAAACUCCCGGGACUCGCUCAGGAAGUUGAGAAGAAAGGGAGCAUGGAGAAGAGAACAAAGCAUAUACACUGAAAACAUGAUGACGGGUGGGAAAGAUGAUGAUGAUGGUGGUGAAAGAACAAGCUGUACUGUAACAGUGCACUUCUGUAACUCUGCAGCUGCCCGCUAGGGGGCGCCUCGACUCUCAAGACAAAUACUUAAAAAAUUAAAUCAUGAAGAGAAUCC
rnacentral:lncRNA from 1 species